UACGGAGGGGGCUAGCGUUGUUCGGAAUUACUGGGCGGAAAGCGCACGUAGGCGGCUUUGUAAGUUAGAGGUGAAAGCCCGGGGCUCAACUCCGGAAUUGCCUUUAAGACUGCAUCGCUCGAAUUGUGGAGAGGUAAGUGGAAUUCCGAGUGUAGAGGUGAAAUUCGUAGAUAUUCGGAAGAACACCAGUGGCGAAGGCGACUUACUGGACACAUAUUGACGCUGAGGUGCGAAAGCGUGGGGAGCAAACAGG
rnacentral:rRNA from 1 species